GUAAGGGAAUCUUCCACAAUGGGCGAAAGCCUGAUGGAGCAACGCCGCGUGUGUGAUGAAGGGUUUCGGCUCGUAAAACACUGUUGUAAGAGAAGAAUGACAUUGAGAGUAACUGUUCAAUGUGUGACGGUAUCUUACCAGAAAGGAACGGCUAAAUACGUGCCAG
rnacentral:rRNA from 1 species